UUGGGAAUCUUGGACAAUGGGGGCAACCCUGAUCCAGCCAUGCCGCGUGAGCGAAGAAGGCCUUAGGGUUGUAAAGCUCUUUCAGCUGGGAAGAUAAUGACGGUACCCGCAGAAGAAGCCCCGGCUAACUCCGUGCCAGCAGCCGGGGUAAUACGGAGGGCGCUAGCGUUGUUCGGAAAUACUGGGCGUAAAGCGCACGUAGGCGGAUCAGUCAGUCAGGGGUGAAAUCCCGGGGCUCAACCCCGGAACUGCCUUUGAUACUGCUGGUCUUGAGGAUGAGAGAGGCGAGUGGAAUUCCGAGUGUAGAGGUGAAAUUCGUAGAUAUUCGGAGGAACACCAGUGGCGAAGGCGGCUCGCUGGCUCAUUUCUGACGCUGAGGUGCGAAAGCGUGGGGAGCAAACAGGAUUAGAUACCCGUGUAGUCC
rnacentral:rRNA from 1 species